UGCCCCCGGAUAAUAAAUUAAAGGGCUGCAGUAUUUUGACUGUACAAAGGUAGCAUAAUCAUUAGUCAUUUAAUUGAUGACUUGUAUGAAAGAUUGGAUGAGAUAUAAGCUGUCUUUAAUGUAAGUUAUAGAAUUUAAUUUUUUAAUUAAAAAGUUAAAAUAUUUUAAAAAGACGAGAAGACCCUAUAGAGUUUUAUUUUAAUUUAAAUUAAGAUUUUUUAUAAAAAUAAUGAUUUAAAUUUAUUUUAUAAUUUUGUUGGGGUGAUAGAAAAAUUUAGUAAACUUUUUUUAAAAAUUUAACAUAUAUAAGUGAUUAAAUGAUCCAAUUUUAUUGAUUAUAAGAAAAAAUUACCUUAGGGAUAACAGCGUAAUUUUUUUUUUUAGUUCAAAUAAGAAAAAGAGUUUGCGACCUCGAUGUUGGAUUAAGAUAAAAUUUAAAUGCAGAAGUUUAAAAUUUUUGA
rnacentral:rRNA from 1 species